rnacentral:piRNA from 1 species
UGGGUGCUAGGACUCUCCUUGGGCACAGC